CCGCCCGUCACACCAUGGGAGUCAAUUGCUCCAGAAGUCGGCGUGCCAACCGCAAGGAGGCAGCCGCCCAAGGAGUGAUUGGUGACUGGGGUGAAGUCGUAACAAGGUACCC
rnacentral:rRNA from 1 species